rnacentral:piRNA from 1 species
UGGGAGAUAGCAAGAAACGGGGAGCAGUGU